rnacentral:tRNA from 1 species
GGCUCGGUAGCUUAGUUGGUAAAGCACUUGUCUAGCGAAUAAGGGUCGUGAGUUCAAAUCCUACUUGAGCUG